rnacentral:rRNA from 1 species
CCUACGGGUGGCAGCAGUAGGGAAUUUUGCGCAAUGAGCGAAAGCCUGACGCAGCAACGCCGCGUGAACGAGACGCCCUUCGUGGUGUAAAAUUCUGUCAGUCGGGGCGAAAAAUGACGGUACCCACAGAGUACGCACCGGCUAACGCCGUGCCAGCAGCCGCGGUCAUACGGAGGGUGCAAGCGUGGUCCGGAAUCAUUGGGCGUAAAGAGUUCGUAGGCGGCAUGUAAAGUCAGGUGUGAAAGGCGCAGGCUCAACCUGUGUAUGGCACUUGAUACUUGCAGGCUGGAAUGCGGUAGAGGUAAAGGGAAUUCCUGGUGUAGCGGUGAAAUGCUUAGAUAUCAGGAGGAACAUCGGUGGCGUAAGCGCUUUACUGGGCCGUAAUUGACGCUGAGGAACGAAAGCCAGGGUAGCAAAUGGGAUUAGAUACCCGUGUAGUC